CGAGGGACUUGCUAGUCAGUCGGGUAAUGAAGGAAACAAGGUAGUUAAAAGUUUUCUCAGCCAAAUUAAGAAAGCUAAUCAUUAAUCGGUUACAAAGCAGAUGCAAUGCUCUUCUGGCACUUCAAGCCAUUCUCCGUUUCGCUCACUGCAAGUGAGGACUGGAGUAUGAAGGCCACUGUUGUCUUGAUGGAGUCUCUGAGCGCUUGGUUCAUCGCACUGAGUGUCCUGUCUCAGAACAUUUUGCUUUCUGAGAGCGC